rnacentral:rRNA from 1 species
UACGAAGGGGGCGAGCGUUGUUCGGAAUUACUGGGCGUAAAGGGCGCGUAGGCGGUCCUUCAAGUCAGGCGUGAAAGCCCCGGGCUCAACCUGGGAACCGCGCUUGAGACUGGCGGACUCGAGUUCGGGAGAGGAUGGUGGAAUUCCCAGUGUAGAGGUGAAAUUCGUAGAUAUUGGGAAGAACACCGAUGGCGAAGGCAGCCAUCUGGACCGACACUGACGCUGAGGCGCGACAGCGUGGGGAGCAAACAGG